ACGGCGGGUGGAAGGUCGUCCCUAUUGGGGCCAACAGCCAGUGUGCACAAGGGGGAACAGAGCCGUGUGGCUUCUGGUGCCCGUUGAGGAAAGGUGAGGCGAGGUGCUCACCAUGCACCUCAAGGUGGAUGACCUCACGUGGCCAUAUACGCCCUUUGUUUAAGUUCUUGCAGAUCAACUUUAUGCAGAGCUUGUGGAACCUGAGAAGCACAUGCAGAUAUUCUCUCGUAGGAAAAAUGAGGUAGUGAGAUGUUACUUGGAGAAAUGGUAUCUAAAUUUGUGUUGCUUUCUGUUUUGAGUUCUGACCUUUCAACUUGCAGAUGCUAAACAUACUAAACAAGUGUGAGAGAAAUACUACAGACAUUUACGAAUGUCACACAUUUUUUCUAAUACUGAUUCAUAUCAUAUUACAAGUAUACUCUACUUAUAUUUCCUUUAUUUUUAGCGGUGGAGUUCAAUUGUAUCUUUUUAACAAAAUAUAAGGAGUUUCAGUUCAGAUUAUGCACUUUUCAUGUUCUAUCUAUUUGCUUUGUAAACAGAUUUACCAAAAAAACUCAGAAGAUAGGCAUGAGAGCUAUAAAUAUUCUUGGAAUAAAAGGUGAGGCUGCAUGCACUUGUUUGGAUCUCAUGGUAGGAAACGAGUUGUUGCUGCUAAUUUUCCCUAAAAUAGGAAAGGUAGGGAAAUUCUUUCUGGAUAAAUUAUAUGGUAUGUCCAAUCCGUUAUUUCGCGACUACGUUGAUGAUCCGUUGUUACCGCAGUAAGGAUUCUACAAAUAGUAUGGCUCUUUUUAUCCUUGAUUGAUGCGGGGAUUUAUUAGGAACUAGGCAAGAAAGUCAGAUCUUUUAUAUAAUCUUGCUCAUUCCGAUUUUUGCCCUACAUCCUGAUUCGAUAUAUAGUGAAAUAUAUUUUGGACUUAGUUCUGGGAGUGAGGGGAUUUUUAUAAAAACGUGUAUGAGCCCAGUGAGGAGAGGCCAUGAAGGUUCUAGGAGUGAAGGGAUUAGGAUCGGGAACUGCUGCUGCAUCAGGCGCAACAAGGCAAUGAGGAGGAUGUGUUUCAGGGCAAUGGGUGUUGUAGGAGCAUUGAUAUAAGUGACGCCCUCACUGAAGUUGGUCUGACCUGCCUUGAGGUCCUCCUCACCAAGUGAAGCCUCGCCUCGGUGAAUCAGGUCACUCGCUUAAUUCUGCUCUGCCGUACUCAUAUCAUCGAAUCCCUUAAUUAUAGUCUACCAGUUAGCUACUUUACUGAAAAUCUGACUCUGCAGUGAACUAAUUAGUACUUGUUUUAGUAGUUUAUUUUGGGUUAGUUGAUAACAGUAUGAAUUGAAAUAGCACUUGUUCCAACAGUUGAUUCAGGGCCAGUUGAGGACGGUAUGAAAUGAAUUAGGCACACAGUGUGGUUUCUGUGUGUAACUCUUGCUCUUCUUUUCCUUUUCCUCCUCAAGAUGGUAGCAAUGCUAAAAUAGUUGACUUCUGGGGCUAUGCUUUCACCUUGAGAGUCUUCAGAUGAAUUUAGUGGUGCAAUUAUUAGAUGCUUCAGGGUCUUGGUUUUGCAGUUACAACCAUGCUUGGAUCAUUUUUGUUCUUUCAAACCAGGAACAGUGUUACCUAUGAUCCCAACCAGUACAGGCUUGGAUGUUAGAAGUGUAGUCAGCUCAAAUCACUCUACACAACCACCUGUUUUCUUAGCUAAAUGCGUGUGUGGUACGAGCAUAAGGUUCUUAUUUGGUUUCUCAUUUGUGGUAACGGUCAGGAACAACAACUGGUCUACGUGUUGUACAGUUGUGGUGUGUGCCUAUAGGCAGAGCUAAUGUAGAUCAAGUGUCCUACUAUAGAAAGUUUUUUAGGAAAUAUUCCCCGCACUCCAAAUUAUAAGACAUUUUGACUUUUUUAGAUGCAUUGUCUUUUCUAUGCCACCCCUCUUCCAUAAGGUAGGCAUAUCCAUCCAUCCUACAUAUUGAAUUCUAUUCAUUGCUUGGUUGAUCAUCUCACUGUCAAUGAAAUUUGAAGUAUCUCACUGUUUUGCCCCCUAAGUUCAUCCUGAUCUUUAGACCCUACUCUGAAUCUCGCAUUGCUUCUGCACCACCUACGUCAAAAUUGCUCUAACUCUGUUCAUUCACUUCAGUGUCUUUUUAACUGAAGUAAUUUGUUUGUUAAUUUGAUGAAUUACCCUGCCAACGAAAUUUGAAUCACCUCAGUGUUUAACCAUCGAAUUUAUCCUAAACUUCAGACUCUCGGAAUCUCACAUUGCUUCUAUAUUUGCCUUAAAAUUGCUCUGACACUGUUGAUUCACUUCGGUGCUAUUUUAAUAUAAGUAAUUUGUUUAUUAAUUUGAUGAAUUUUGAUUUAACUGUAAACUACAUGAUAGUGAUUUUAUCCACAUCUAACUUAUUCUCUUUAGUGUGUUUCAGGAAGAAUGCUUUACAAAUCCGAAUAUAAGUUCAGUACGAUAGUGCAAACAGAGAGCAUCAGGCUGCAUAUCUUGUCGAUUCAACAAACCAAGUUGGUCAUUUUCAGAAUGCAAGCUAAGUGUGACGCCGCCACAGAAGACCAUGCCCACUCUGUUCGUGCUAUCGGUUUGGAAAGAACAUGUGGAAAGCCAAUCUCGGAUCUUGCUUCCUUCAGGUUUCCACAUUGUAGACACACAAGAGUCCAGCCUGCGACAAACGCUCCUGCAGCCCUUAUUCUUCGUAGCGGUUUCUGCCGUCUGGCCCGGUUCUGGAAUUAUGUGGCCAUCAGCUGAUUGUCAACAGUCUCAUGAGAUUGGAGCCUAGAUCCAGUUUGCUUUGUUGGAAAACUUCAAGCACCUCUAGACGGAAGGAGAUUGGAGCCUAGAUCCAGUUUGCUUUGUUGGAAAACUUCAAGCACCACUAGACGGAAGUUGUCUGCACUGAAGAUCAGGACACGAAGAUCGCGAGCUUUAACAAGGCUCGCCUUGUGCGGAAGGUGUAUUUCAGUGAGAUCUCCAAGAUGAAGCAUUAGGGGGUCAAUCGCCCCAGAUUUUACGCGUAGCUAACUUAGUAGGGCACCCAUAAUCCAUAAUUUAUUCUCUGUAGUUGUAGCAGCGACAUAGAGGUGUCAUUCUGUAGCACAUUGUGUAACAUGUAGGAGAGAGAGAAACACAUAUCCCCAUUCUUUCUACUGAAACACCAGAAAUAGUUGCUCUUGCUCCAUAAUUCGUUAAUCUGAACUUCUGAAGCCAUGCCAAGGCCUUAUAUUGAUCCUCUGUUGUCAUAUUGAUAAAAAUA